rnacentral:lncRNA from 1 species
UUUUAAUUUAUAAUAAAUUCUUGACUCUUUAACCAGCUUAACUGUUUCCAAGCAAUCUUAGGAAGCAUUAGUCUGAUCUGGAAAGAAAGUGAUAUGUAAGGUCAUUACUCUCUUGGAAUGAGCAGAAAAAUUUUUUCUUGUCAUCAGCAAUAUGGACAGAAAUUCCAACAUUCAUUGAUUCAAUGUUUUUAGAUGUUAGUGUGCUGGCUGUUUUCCCAUAGCUACAACUUUGCAACUAAACAACUUGAUGAUGACAAGCUUAAAAUGUUCGAAGUGAAAAAGAGAAACCAAGACAAACUUAUGCAGAAAGGAAGAAGCUGGAUCCGGACUUCCCUAGUCCUGGCUGCACAGUGAAGGUGCUGGAGUGUUGUGUUCCCAGUGUUUGUCAUAAAGUCUACUUGAUGUGUCUGAAAACAAAAUCUUUACAGAGAGAAUUUAUAGUAUAGAUUCAGAAUCAGAGAAUCUCUAAAUGGUCCUGAAAUCCAGAUAAUUAUGACUCCCAAUGCCUUGGAUAGAUACAUGGAUGGAUAGAUAAUAUAUACAUAAUCAAGAGACAAGGUAGAGAUUUCCUUUUUAAUUGUAAGCUUUGGAAUUAGACAAGCUCAAAUCUGAAUCCUGAUUCUACUCUUUUCUAUUCAUUUCCACAGCAAAUUAAUUCAGCUAUGAUUUAUGCCUCUGUUUCCCCAUUUGCAAAAUGCGGAUGAUG